ensembl:lncRNA
GCCAUUUCCCUCAUUUUGUAUGUGGAUGAGUUUGAAGUGUGUAAUCCGCUUGGCACCUCAAGAAAAAAAAAGCGAAAAAUUACAGCAGUGUAUUGGAUAUUAGCUAAUGUACCGCCAUUGCUCAGGUGACAUUGUGUAUUAUAUUAACAUUUUUUACUAUUUAAUUGUGUCCUUCUUCUUCUUUUUUCACAGCUGAAUAAUGAAUUCUAAAGGAUCACCACUGUUAACUUGGAAACAACCUUCUUAAAAACUGGACCAGACUGCACACACUGCACAGUGGACACACUGCAAGUCCCAUAAGUUUACAAUUUUAGACUUUUCGCCUAGUAAACUGUUUUCUUUUUUAUUCUACAGAGUUCGAUGGAAACAAAGAGAGAGGUCGCAAUCCGUUGCCUGAUGGUGUAUCUGAAAAAAAAAAAAAAAGAGGAGGAUCUCUUCAGCUGGUAGGUAAGUCUCACUUUUUUGUUUUAUUUUUAAAUGGUACAAAAAAAAAAAAAAACCCGACAUAUGCCCUUUUAACCUACUUGGCAGGAUAGUGAGGAACAGUUCCCAGAAGAAGUGGUAAAGAAUGUAGUCACCAGACAUACAGCAGCAUUUCUUCCACCCUAAAAUUGUGAUUGAAGGAACAACUGUCCUGGAAGACCUUGGUGUGCCCAAAGCGUGUUCCUUAAUGAUGGGGCUUAUAUACGUUACCUUUGUUGCGUUGUUGAACAUUAAAACGUUUUGUCUUUUUUUUUUUUAUUAUUCUGCGAUAUUUACCAAGUUGAUAGGUUAAAGUUAAUGCUUAAUAAUAAGCAGAUUUGCAAAACCAAUUGCCUUACGUUGUAAUGUUUGUUUUCUGAGGUAUUUUAGAAGGGCAUGAUUUAAAAUUAUUGUGAUUUGGAAGACUUCAUAGUUUAUUGACUGUUUUAUUUAAUAUACAUUUACAAAUCUUUAUAGUGGUUCUCAAAGUUGAUCAUCAGGCCCCAUUGCUCUGCUUGUUUCCCAGCUAUCAAGACUCUACACAAUGUUGAUUGC